rnacentral:rRNA from 1 species
AACGAACGCUGGCGGCAGGCCUAACACAUGCAAGUCGAACGAACCUUUCGGGGUUAGUGGCGGACGGGUGCGUAACACGUGGGAACGUGCCCUUAGGUUCGGAAUAACUCAGGGAAACUGGUGCUAAUACCGAAUGUGCUCUUCGGGGGAAAGAUUUAUCGCCUUUAGAGCGGCCCGCGUCUGAUUAGCUAGUUGGUUGAGGUAAUGGCUCACCAAGGCGACGAUCAGUAGCUGGUCUGAGAGGAUGAUCAGCCACAUUGGGACUGAGACACGGCCCAGACUCCUACGGGAGGCAGCAGUGGGGAAUAUUGCGCAAUGGGCGAAAGCCUGACGCAGCCAUGCCGCGUGAAUGAUGAAGGUCUUAGGAUUGUAAAAUUCUUUCACCGGGGACGAUAAUGACGGUACCCGGAGAAGAAGCCCCGGCUAACUUCGUG